UCAAGCUACAAAGAGCGCAAGGGGAAUGCCUUGGCACCAAGAGCCGAAGAAGGACGCAGCGAUCUGCGAAAAGCCGCGGGGAGCCGAAAGCAGGCAUCGAUCCGCGGGUAUCCGAAUGGGGAAACCCGGCUGAGCAAUACUCAGUCAGCACAUAUUGAAUAAAAUAGGUAUGUGCGGGGAACCGCCCGAACUGAAACAUCUAAGUAGGGCGAGGAAAAGAAAUCAACCGAGAUUCCGCAAGUAGUGGCGAGCGAACGCGGAAGAGGCCAAACCGCGGGUAGUAAUAUCCGCGGGGUUCGGACGGCGCACGGUAUUGACAAACGUUAGCGGAAGGGCAUGGGACGGCCCGCCAAAGAGAGUGAGAGCCUCGUACGCGAAAAUGUGAGUCAGCCAGCCGUAUCCAGAGUACCGCCGGGCACGUGAAACCCGGUGGGAACAUGGGGGGACCAUCCUCCAAGCCUAAAUACUCCUUGGUGACCGAUAGUGUAUAGUACUGUGAAGGAAAGGUGAAAAGAACCCCGGGAGGGGAGUGAAAAGAACCUGAAACCUUGUGCUUACAAGCACGCAAAGCACGUCAAUGUGUGAUGCGGUACCUUUUGUAGAAUGGUCCGGCGAGUAAAUGUAUCCGGCAAGGUUAAGCGCUUAAGGCGCGGAGCCGAAGCGAAAGCGAGUCUUAACAGGGCGAAUGAGUCGGAUGUAUUUGACCCGAAACCGGGUGACCUAGCCAUGUCCAGGUUGAAGUGGAGGUAAAACUCCAUGGAGGACCGAACCCACUCCCGUUGAAAUGGUAGGGGAUGAGGUGUGGCUAGCGGAGAAAUUCCAAUCGAACCCGGAGAUAGCUGGUUCUCUCCGAAAUAGCUUUAGGGCUAGCCUCGACGUAACAUUGCCGGAGGUAGAGCACUGAAUGGGCUAGGGGGCGAGAGUCUACCGAACCCUAUCAAACUCCGAAUGCCGGACAAUGAUCGUCGGGAGUCAGACUAUGGGAGAUAAGUUUCAUAGUCGAAAGGGAAACAGCCCAGACCCACAGCUAAGGUCCCUGAGCAUGGUUAAGUGGAAAAGGAUGUGGAGUUGCACAGACAACCAGGAUGUUGGCUUAGAAGCAGCCACUCAUUAAAAGAGUGCGUAAUAGCUCACUGGUCGAGUGGCUCUGCGCCGAAGAUUUAACGGGGCUAAACCAUGCACCGAAGCUUGGGAACGCGCGCUUGCGCGCGUUGGUAGGAGAGCGUUGAAUACGGGGUGAAGUCGCAGCGGAAGCGGCGGUGGACUGUAUUGAAGUGAGAAUGCCGGAAUGAGUAGCGAGAUUUAUGUGAGAAUCAUAAAGGCCGAAAGACUAAGGAAUCAGAAGGAAGGUUCGUCCGCUUCUGGUUAGCCGGGGGCUAAGGCGAGGCCGAGAGGCGUAGUCGAUGCACAUACGGUGGAGAAUCCGUAGCCGCCGAAAGAUUUAAGUAAAGGGACACUUUGGAAGGGCAUGACCCGGGCGUUGGUAGCCCCGGGCGAAAGGGACCGAAAUCAGAGUAGGGAAGCAUGCUUGGAAAGAGGCGAGAAAAGCUUUACGGAUAUCUAAGGCGCCCGUACCGAAAACCGACACAGGUAGUCAGGAAGAAGAUUCUAAGGCCAACGGGAGAAGGGUAGUUAAGGAACUCGGCAAAUUGACCCCGUAACUUCGGGAUAAGGGGUGGUGCGCAAGCACCCGCAGUGAAAAGGUCCAGGCGACUGUUUAUCAAAAACACAGGUCUCUGCUAAAUCGCAAGAUGACGUAUAGGGGCUGACACCUGCCCGGUGCCGGAAGGUUAAGAGGAGGAGUGAGAGCUCUGAAUUGAAGCCCCGGUAAACGGCGGCCGUAACUAUAACGGUCCUAAGGUAGCGAAAUUCCUUGUCGGGUAAGUUCC
rnacentral:rRNA from 1 species